UACGUAGGGUGCGAGCGUUGUCCGGAAUUACUGGGCGUAAAGAGCUCGUAGGCGGUUUGUCGCGUCGACUGUGAAAACCCGAGGCUUAACCUCGGGCCUGCAGUCGAUACGGGCAGACUAGAGUUCGGUAGGGGAGACUGGAAUUCCUGGUGUAGCGGUGAAAUGCGCAGAUAUCAGGAAGAACACCAAUGGCGAAAGCAGCUCUCUGGGACGGUACUGACGCUGAGACGCGAAAGCGUGGGGAGCGAACAGG
rnacentral:rRNA from 1 species